AACGGGUGAGUAACACGUGGGCAACCUGCCUGUAAGACUGGGAUAACUUCGGGAAACCGGAGCUAAUACCGGAUAAUCCUUUUCUACUCAUGUAGGAAAGCUGAAAGACGGUUUACGCUGUCACUUACAGAUGGGCCCGCGGCGCAUUAGCUAGUUGGUGAGGUAACGGCUCACCAAGGCGACGAUGCGUAGCCGACCUGAGAGGGUGAUCGGCCACACUGGGACUGAGACACGGCCCAGACUCCUACGGGAGGCAGCAGUAGGGAAUCUUCCGCAAUGGACGAAAGUCUGACGGAGCAACGCCGCGUGAGUGAUGAAGGUUUUCGGAUCGUAAAACUCUGUUGUUAGGGAAGAACAAGUACGAGAGUAACUGCUCGUACCUUGACGGUACCUAACCAGAAAGCCACGGCUAACUACGUGCCAGCAGCCGCGGUAAUACGUAGGUGGCAAGCGUUGUCCGGAAUUAUUGGGCGUAAAGCGCGCGCAGGCGGUCCUUUAAGUCUGAUGUGAAAGCCCACGGCUCAACCGUGGAGGGUCAUUGGAAACUGGGGGACUUGAGUGCAGAAGAGGAGAGUGGAAUUCCACGUGUAGCGGGUGAAAAUGCGUA
rnacentral:rRNA from 1 species